AGUGAAAUUGCUGGGUCAUGUGGUAAAGCUUUUUAUUUAAUGUUUUGAGGAACUGCUGAACUGUUUUCCAUAGCAGCUGCUUCAUUUUACCUUUCUACCAGCAAU
rnacentral:pre_miRNA from 1 species